CAGGGUAUUGAUUGAGAACGUUGGGAAUCAUCCCUAAGUUAAGGGUAUUGAGUUGAGAACCUUGUGGGUACGGGAAAGAUUUUCUUAGGGGCUUUUCAGGAAUCAGGAGCCCCUGAUAGGAGAGCGGGAAAAGCCCCGCUGAUCUAGAUCAGUUGUUUGCCCUCUUUGGAAGGGUAAGUUUUUGGUAGGGACAGUUAGGUUUUGUGGGAGAUUGUCCCUAAAU